rnacentral:lncRNA from 1 species
CAUGUGCCAAAAAUAGGCCGCGGGCACAGCCGGGCCCAAAAAUAAACGCCCGAAGGCCGGGGCGCCCAGUUCGUCCAUUGGAAAAAGGCCACAAAAACGGGUGGGCUAUAGCCUUGGCGGGUGGGGCUGGCCAAUUUCGUCCGCCGGACUCGGAAUGGCGAGAGACUUUACGAGCGGCCUCCGUGUGCCAAAAAUAGGCCGCGGGCAAAGCCGCGCCCAAAAAUAACCACCCGAAGGCCGGGGAGCCAAGUUCGUCCAGCGGAAAAAGGCCACAAAAACGGGUGGGCUAUAGCCUUGGGGGGUGGGGCUGGCCAACUUCGUCCGCUGGACUCGGAAUGCCACGAGACUUUACGAGGGGCCUCCGUGUGCCAAAAAUAGGCCGCGGCCAAAGCCGCGCCCAAAAAUAACCGCCCGAAGGCCGGGGCGCCAAGUUCGUCCAGCGGAAAAAGGCCACAAAAACGGGUGGGCUAUAGCCUUGGGGGCUGGGGCUGGCCGACUUCGUCCGCCGGACCCGGAAUGUCGCGAGACUUUGCGAGGGGCUUCCGUGUCCCAAAAAUAGGCUGCAGGCAAAGCCACGCCCAAAAAUAACCGCCCGAAAGCCGGGGCGCCAAGUUCGUACAGCGGAAAAAGGCCACAAAAACGGGUUGGCUAUAGCCUUGGGGGGUGGGGCUGGCCAACUUCGUCCGCCGGACUCAGAAUGCCGCGAGACUUUGCAAGGGGCCUCUGUGUGCCAAACAUAGGCCACGGACAAAGCCGAGCACACAAAUAACCGCCCGAAGGCCGGGGCGCCAAGUUCGUCCAGCGGAAAAAGGCCACAAAAACAUGUCGGCUAUAGCCUUGGGGGGUGGGCUGGCCAACUUCGUCCGCCGGACUCGGAAUGCCACGAGACUUUGCGAGGGGCCUCCGUGUGCCAAAUAUAGGCCGCGGGCAAAGCCUCGCCCAAAAAUAACUGCCCGAAGGCCGGAGCGCCAAGUUCGUCCAGCGGAAAAAGGCCACAAAAACGGGUGGGCUAUAGCCUUUGGGAGUGGGGCUGGCCAACUUCGUCCGCCGGACUCGGAAUGCCGCGAGACGUUGCGAGGGGUCUCCGUGUG